UCUAGCUGCCAACCACAUAAAACCCAAUCUACUCAACUCAUCCGAGUCUUAACAACCUUCUUGUUUCACAAUCAAAUCAAACGCAUCAUUCAAGUAUUGUCUUAACUUUCAAUCCAAAACCCAGAAUUCCAUCAAUCAUGACCAGUUCAAACAAUUAUGUUACCGAUUUCAGAUUCAAAUCAAACUCAUGUUCUAAUUUCAACGGCACCAGAGAUAUCAAUUUGCAAUUGCAGUAAAAUCCAUCUUCUUUCUUCCACAUCUUUUGAUGCCGCUUAGGGAAGAAGAACAGAGAAGUGAAAACAAAAGUAGGGUUCUUCCUCGUUUCAAAUUAAGAUUUUUUUGAAGAAAAUUAGAGUUCAUACAAAUCUUCAAAUAUGUGGAGUAAGAACAGUGGUUGUUAUGAUUUUUUUUUCUUCAAAACUUUUGCUUUAAAUCUCCAGAUCUAAGUACUUAAGAGUGAAAUCGAAGAAAUAAGAAGAGAAAUCGUUCAUUUAAAAUCAAUUGUUUGAUGUAGACUCGUUCGGUUUCAAUUUCAAUUUCGUUGUAUUUUCUACAACUCGGUCUCUGUUCUUCAACACCCUUAUAUGUUUUUCAGAAUUGAAGCCUCGAAUCUCAAACAUUGUGUCUAUGCCAGUUGAACCGCAAAUUUCCUUGCUCUCUUAGCGUUAAUGAAUUGGUUUGUGAUGGCUUAAUUGUUUUACAUUAAGGGGACUUGAAGUUGUUUCUCAAAUGAUUGGAAUCUUUUGAUUUUAAAGUUUAUUUAUGCUUUGCUAGCAAGCUGCAUCUAACCUUUCAUAUAUAUUUGCACAAGCUGUUGGAAAGGUGCUACCUGCAUUAAAUGGUAAGUUAACUGGAGUAGUUUUCCAUGUUCCUACUAUUGAUGUCUCUGUGCUUGAGAAGAAGGAGGCAUACGGUCAGAUUAAAAGAUUAAGGCUGCUAUCAAGAAAGUGAAAGUGAAGAUGAUGGUCUUGAUUUAGGCGAUGAUGAUGUUCAUGUACAUGCUGAUCCGGUGGUGAAGAUGACCCAGACACCUUGUCCACCCAAGGAGCAGAAGGCAGCUUUUAAAGAAGGAGCUGAAGGAAAAGGAACUUGCAGAACUUGAUGCUGUUUUGGCUGAGCUAGGAAUUGACACAUUAUGCGCUACUGAGAACCUGAAUUACAUCUUGAAUCUUUCGAUCAAACUGAUAUUUGAAUCUCAAUCUAUCAAUUAUUUUGUUUGUUGGUUAUGUAAUUACAAUAACGAAAGAAACUGUCAAUU